rnacentral:rRNA from 1 species
UACGAAGGGGGCUAGCGUUGCUCGGAAUCACUGGGCGUAAAGCGCACGUAGGCGGAUUGUUAAGUCAGGGGUGAAAUCCUGGAGCUCAACUCCAGAACUGCCUUUGAUACUGGCGAUCUUGAGUCCGGGAGAGGUGAGUGGAACUCCGAGUGUAGAGGUGAAAUUCGUAGAUAUUCGGAAGAACACCAGUGGCGAAGGCGGUUCUCUGGGCAUUACCUGACGCUGAGGAGCGAAAGUGUGGGGAGCGAACAGG